CGUCACCCUUUUGUGCCUUGCCCCAAGAGAUGAGAGGAAGAAAAAAGAAGAGAAGAGAGGGGAGAUGAGGGCAUACCGUCGCUCAUCAUCGUCGUUCCUCUCCAAGAAUUGGUUGGAUUUUCCUCUCUCUCUUUUCUCCACUUGAUGAAUGCUUUCUCUUGUUUUGGAUGAGUUUUAGGCCCUGCAAUUAGUUUUUUUGGUUGGAUUAGAUGGGAGAUUAGAUUUUGAUCUCGAAAUUAGUUUCUGCAGGAUGGCAGAUUCAACAGUUUCUGUUCAUGCAAGUUUUCCGUGAUCUUAGUAGCCUCAAAAAAUUAAAACGUCUGUCUAUGAGUCGUAGAUAAUUUGUAUAUCUUUCCGUGGCCGUGAAGAACACCUCAAUCGGACAUCAGAUCAGAAAGUUAUUGCAGUUUGAUUAUAGCAGUUUUUCAGUCUCAUAAUUCUGUGCAGAAUCUGUUCUCUUAAGAUUUAGGCAAUUUUAUCUACAGAAUUAAACUUUAGGAUUGUAAAAGAAGUUGUAGACAAUUUUAUAAGCUUUCCAGAUUGUUAAAGAGCGCAUUCAUAUGAAUUAUGAAACUCCAGUUAUGUUUGUUUUACUGUGGCUGUUCCUGUUUGCCUGACAAAAAUGAGUGGGUCUGUUCACUGGUGGGUUUCAUAUAGUAAAUAGCCGAAUUGGCUGUUCCAACUAUGGAGACAUUUGUAGAGGGAUAAAAGUUCUUACUGCCAGCAGAAUUUCAUAAUUUUUGGUUGAGUAGUUUGGUAGAUAUUGAAUUUUGAAGUUAACUAUGCUGCUGUCUGAAACAGAUUCAGACAUUUAUCUUAUGAGAUGUUUUAGAACUUAUAGAUGGCAGAAUUUAAUUAUCUAUUGAAUGCUGAAGUUGUAGAGUAUUUUGUGUAUACACUCCUAGAGUAUUUGUUUAAUAUCACCACUGUUAUAAUUUUAAAGAUACAAAAUUAACAAACAGUGUUGUUGUUGUUUGGCAUGUGGUUCAGGGUGGGAGUCUUUCCACCGGGUCUUGGUUUCAAGUGUAGGAGCGAUUUGUUGAUUGUUGGCAAAUGUUUGUGAAAUAUUUGUACUAAGUUUUAUGCCCGCUAGCAGGUGGCUACACUCCGGAUCAUGCCUAGUACAUCUUUCUUCCUCGAUGAAGGCAAGUGAAUGUAGUAGUGGUUUCUACCGUUUUGACUUGUUGUUUUUUUAUCGCCUACACUCUAAUAUUCAGAAUUAUAGAAUUCUUUCAUAAUUGAACUCUAUGGUGAUGCUUUACUUGAUUGUAUUAUACUGAUGCUCAAUCAUAUAUUGAUGAUGAUUAUGGUUCGAGUAUGACCCAUGAGAUUAAUUUACACCCGUGAAGGCAGAUAAAGUAUUAUUUGAGGUUUGUAUCGUAUCUGAAGGCAGAUGAAGUAUUAUUUGAGGUUUGUUUUGUAUCUGAAGGAAGUGAAGUGUAUUGAUAAAUACAGCAUGCCAUAUGCAUUACAUGAUUCAUUUGCAUCUGAAGUUUGGUCGUGACCUAUGGUCCGACUGUACCGGUACAACUUAGCAUCGUACGUUGCCCGAGGAGGGGUACGAUGCGGCUUCAUACCCUUAGAGGUAUGAAGGCAGAGGACAUAUGCAUUGCAUUUAUAUGCAUUCAUUGAAGUGAUAUUAGCAGAUGAUGUGGUUUUAUACUCUCAGAGGUAUGAGGGCAGAUGACCUACACAUUGCAUUCCUAUGCAUACAUUGAAGUGAUAUCUGCAGGUAUUGUUGACGCAGGGAAGGGUUAUACAACCUAUUGUGGUUGUUCGAGGAAAUGAGAUGGUAUUGGUUAUAUUGGGACUAUUGAGUUCUAUAUCUACAAGUAUUUCUGAUCUCAAUUGUGAUUCCUUUAAAAUGUUGUUUAAUUCAAUUUGUGGUUUAAAUAUCUCGUCAAAACAAUUUGCUUGCUGAGAUGUAUCAUCUCACUCUUGCAUUACUCAAUGCAGGUACUUGAUUCAUGUUGGGAAUGAGGGAAGUAGCAGCACGUUCACCUUCACUAUUAUAAUAACGAUGCCCAGUUGCAGCCAUGAUUUAAUUAGAAACUCGAUGACAAAUGAUGUUUGUUUUUUCCUAGUCGUGUGCACUGGUUAAUUCAGUUCAUGUCGUUAUGUUUAACUUUCCUUUGCUAGCAGAUUAAUAAUGCUUAGUAUGUUUUUUUUCAUGAUAUAUGUUUAUACACUGUUGCCCC
rnacentral:lncRNA from 1 species